CUCUCGCUUCGUGGAUCGCUAUUCCUCUCCCUUUCUAUCCUUCGUUUCGAUCGUACUGUUCGAUUGGUAUACUUUUAUCGUUUGAUUCGAUUGAUCGAAAUGGAAGAUCUUUCUUUUUUUCUUAUAGAAAGAGAGAUGCUCGAUUUAUAUAAUAGAUUUAUAUAGUUUUUCCAUGGAUUUUAGUGAAGAGCAACUUAACCUAUCUUUAACUUUGUUUGUAGCGUGAAUGAAGUUACGAAAAAUUUAACCUCUUCGAGGGACGCUUAUGGUUAAAGAGGUUAAAACGGUGGAAUUAGAAGAUACAGUUUUUCAUGGACAAGAAGAAUCAAGAAUCAAGAUUUAAAAUCUUAUAGGGAAAAUUGAAAUUGUGAAACGGAUAAUAUUGAUAAAAUGGACGAUGGAAUAGUAACUUUGGACACUUAGCUCGGAAAAAUUCUCGCCGUCGUGGAAAUUGAUGGAAAAUUUGAACACGUUCUAUAUCGUUACGGGAAGAGGAGAGAUUUAUGAGAACCCUCUUCUGUCUAGAUAUCGAAAAGAUAUUAAAAAAUUUAAAUCCUAUUAUCGGAAGAUUGGUGAGAGAUGUUGAAAAUUUCAAUCGCUCGCUACUUCCUAACCUCAAAAUUCCAUUUCUUAACCUCACGAAUCGAAGCGAAACGCGUUAUCCAUAAUUUAAUGCAAAACUUCAUCAACCUCCAAGGAAUGCAUUCCAACGAGCGACUCAUACUCCCAAAAGCAAUAUUUCCUUUAAAAUAUCGAGGUAAGGAGGGGUCGAAGGUCCGCAGUAUAAGAAACGUCGCACGCUGCGUGUUGUCGCUGGUCCGCGUGGCUUGUAAGGAGGAAGAAGAAGAAGUAGAAAAGGAAGAAUGGGAAAAGACGAGCGGAGGUUGGCGAUCGAUAGCCAAACUCCUCGUUUCUACAGUAAGAUAAGAAGACACGCGUUAUAUGCAUAGACUCUGGCUCGCUUUCGCGAUUCCUGAUACUGGAAACUGCCGCUUGCAACGAAUAGCUGAUAUCUGCACGAGAUAAGACGAAUUGCCUGGAAACCGGUAGUAAAACGGAAAAGAGGACAACCCUUUGACUAGGGGAACUGGUUGUUGUCGGAUGGGAAUCUUCUUUGGCCUUUGAGGUUGCUGGACAAGUUGGAUUCACAGGUGCUUAGAAGUGGAAAGGGAUGAAGAACUGGUUAAGGGUUUUGAAGAUUGUUUUGUUUAUGUGGGAAGCUUUAAAAGUUGGUUCAAUUGGUUAGAAAUGGUUAUUGAUGGUCUUAAAGGUUGCAUAUGAGAAUCUUCUUUGAUUUUUGAAGCUAUUGGAUAAGUUGGAUGGAAAGGAAUGAAGGAGUAAGAUUUUUGGAGAUAGUUUUGUUUAAGUGAUUUAUCCUUUAAUUGAUAUUAGGAAUGAUUAUUGAUCUUAAAAUUACAUUUGAAAAUCUUUUUUUCAGAUUAUUAGUUUAAAAGUUGGAUUCAUAGGAAUUUAGAGAUGGAAAGGAAUGAAGAAACAGUUAAAAAUUUUUUUGGAAAUAGUUUUGUUUAAUGGUUAGAUUGCUUAAUGAAUAAGAUAAUCCUUAAAUGUUUAUCUCUCAAGUAGUUAGAAUUAAAUGAUUUUAAAAAUUAUAAGAAUCUUCUGUGAUUUUUGAAGUUAUUAAGUAAAUUAGAUUCAU
rnacentral:lncRNA from 11 species